AAAUUAUUUGAUUUUAGUAAAAAAAAUUAGCUGUAUCUAAUCAUAUCACAUGUUAUACAUUAAUACCCACCUAAACAACUCUUUCCAAUUUUAAUAAUAAUAAAAGAACGGUGCCAACAGUGUAGAAUUUUGGAUUGAACCAGACAAGAUACUUAAAAUUGGCCAAAAUUGUGCCAGCAGCCGCGGUUAUACAAUAGAUUUAAGCUAAUUCUAAACAUCAUGAAAUAUUAAUAAAAUUCUAAAAAGCACUUAGAUAAAAUAUAAAAUAAAAAACCAAAAAAGAAAACCCAUAUUUCAAAAAGUAGGGACAAAAACAAGGAUUAGAUACCCUUCUAUCCCCUACCGAAUUUAGAGCACUAUGCAAAGAAACUCAAAAAAUUUGGCGGUAUCUUAAACUCCUAAGGGAACCUGUCCUUUAAUUUGAUAAUCCACGAUUAUAUUUUUACCUUUCCUUGAAAAUUCAUCCUAUAUAUUGCCGUCUCCAGCUUAUUACCAAAUAAAAAGAAAUUAGCUUUUAAACAAUCACGUCAGGUCAAAAUGUAGACUAUGGAAAGGAAGAGAUGGGUUACAAUCUUCAUAAAGAUACGAAUUUCCUAGAAAUGAAGGUGGACCUAGUAGUAAUUACACCUAUAAAUGUAAUAAACAAUUACUUAAGAUAUGCACACAUCGCCCGUCACUCUCGUUGAAAAAUGAGAUAAGUCGUAACAAAGUAGAUGCAACGGAAGCUGUAUCUCGAGAUAU
rnacentral:rRNA from 1 species